rnacentral:misc_RNA from 1 species
UCUCCGUUGGUGAACCAGCGGAGGGAUCAUUACCGAGUUUACAACUCCCAAACCCAAUGUGAACGUUACCAAACUGUUGCCUCGGCGGGAUCUCUGCCCCGGGUGCGUCGCAGCCCCGGACCAAGGCGCCCGCCGGAGGACCAACCAAAACUCUUUAUGUAUACCCCCUCGCGGGUUUUUUUACAAUCUGAGCCAUCUCGGCGCCCCUCGUGGGCGUUUCGAAAAUGAAUCAAAACUUUCAACAACGGAUCUCUUGGUUCUG